GACGAACGCUGGCGGCGUGCCUAAUACAUGCAAGUAGAACGCUGAAGGAGGAGCUUGCUCUUCUGGAUGAGUUGCGAACGGGUGAGUAACGCGUAGGUAACCUGCCUGGUAGCGGGGGAUAACUAUUGGAAACGAUAGCUAAUACCGCAUAAAAUUGAUUAUUGCAUGAUAGUCAAUUAAAAGGUGCAAUUGCAUCACUACCAGAUGGACCUGCGUUGUAUUAGCUAGUUGGUGAGGUAACGGCUCACCAAGGCAACGAUACAUAGCCGACCUGAGAGGGUGAUCGGCCACACUGGGACUGAGACACGGCCCAGACUCCUACGGGAGGCAGCAGUAGGGAAUCUUCGGCAAUGGACGGAAGUCUGACCGAGCAACGCCGCGUGAGUGAAGAAGGUUUUCGGAUCGUAAAGCUCUGUUGUAAGAGAAGAACGAGUGUGAGAGUGGAAAGUUCACACUGUGACGGUAGCUUACCAGAAAGGGACGGCUAACUACGUG
rnacentral:rRNA from 1 species